rfam:Triticum aestivum genome assembly, contig: Triticum_aestivum_CS42_TGACv1_scaffold_129551_2BL
GUAUUACCUGGAGUUCCUUUCGAACACUUUAUGGAUCACCUUUCCGAGGGCUCACGUGAAGUGUUUGGGGGAACUCUAGGUGUAAC